GUCACACUCUCAUUCUGCUGCUGCUGCUGCUGAGGAAUGAGCUGCUCUCCUUCAAUGCACCGCUUCUUCUUCCUCGUGUUUGUCCCUCUGUGGGCAGUUGUUCGAUCUGAUGGAAUGAGUGACGUUCAAUCACUGACUGGGAGCUUUGGGGAGACCCUGACCCUCGACAAUCCAGAUACUCCAGUGAUCAGUAAAUAUGGGAUCAUCUGGUCUCAUGUUCAAGGGGGAACCUGUACCGUCUUAAUCCACUACGACGCUGGAGAAUGGGAGAAAAAUGCAACAGACAAGCACCAGCUGGAUGAAAAGACCGGAUCACUCAUCAUUCAGUCCCUCACUGCUAAUGACAGCGGACUUUAUGAGAGGCAGCUCAUCAGUGAGACCGAGGGCAUCGUGAUACCUCAAAAAUUUAUUGUGACUGUUGUGGGUCAGUAGUAAAAUAGUCACGCAACACAAACACACUGGGGACAUACUCACUUUAGUUAGCAUCACAUUAUUUACUAUUAUUUCUUCUUAUUAUAGAAAUGUCACAUCAUGAAGUCACAUUAAAAACCCUUUCAGCAUCCUUCACAAUAAAAGCAUCAGCAUCAUUAACUCAUUAUCAGAUGUGACAGUGACUCUGUGACCAAUGUUCCCUCUAAACUGCGCAUGUGCGCAAUUGCGCACUGCUGGCACGGGCUCUGCGCACAGAAAAUCUGCGUUGCGCACAAAAAAAAAAAAAAAAUCUAACCUGAAUUGAAAUUAAAAUUAAUACUUUAACAAUUCUGUUUUGCAGUGUUAGUCAGUAAGUCACUGGCUGCUCCCGUAUGGGAUUAGAACGAUGCCACCUUAUCCCAUAGUCAAGCCAAUGAUGCGAUUCACAUUCGUAUAUACGCAGCUAAUCAACGUGGUUGACAGGCGUCCAGCAACUUGACGCCUGUAUAUGUAUAUAUAUAUAUAUAUAUGAAGUUAAAAAGUUCAAGUUAUUUUUAC
rnacentral:lncRNA from 1 species